UCCCGAUAAUGGUAAACUUAUUGAAAAAUAAGGGCACAAAGCUAUAGGGUCUAAGGAUUAAAGCAAAGCUUUUUAUCUAUGACAGCCUAGCCACCGAA
rnacentral:ncRNA from 1 species